AGGAUGAACGCUGGCGGAGUGCCUAACACAUGCAAGUCGAGCGGCAGCGCGAAGAAUUUAUUCUUUGGCGGCGAGCGGCGGACGGCUGAGUAACGCGUGGGAACAUGCCCCAAAGUGAGUGAUAAGCAUCGGAAACGGUGUCUAAUACCGCAUAUGAUCUUCGGAUUAAAGGAUUUAUCCGCUUUGGGAAUGGCCUGCGUACGAUUAGAUAGUUGGUGAGGUAAAGGCUCACCAAGUCUACGAUCGUUAACUGGUUUGAGAGGAUGAUCAGUCAGACUGGAACUGAGACACGGUCCAGACUCCUACGGGAGGCAGCAGUGAGGAAUCUUCCACAAUGGACGAAAGUCUGAUGGAGCAACUCCGCGUGCAGGGAUGAAGGCCUUCGGUCGUAAACUGCUUUUUAUGAGUGAAGAAUAUGACGGUAACUCAAUGAAUAAGGUCGGCUAACUACGUGCCAGCAGCCGC
rnacentral:rRNA from 1 species